AGCCUAAACCUGAACCUUAUUGGCCGGGCAUGGCUAAAAGCCAAUCACGGAUAUUAAACCCAUCGUUUGGGAACACCGUGAUUGGUCAUGUCGGGAAACCGGCAUGGGUGACGCAAGUCAUC
rnacentral:sRNA from 1 species